GACGAACGCUGGCGGCGUGCUUAACACAUGCAAGUCGAACGGAAAGGCCCUGCUUUUGUGCGGUGCUCGAGUGGCGAACGGGUGAGUAACACGUGAGUAACCUGCCCUUGACUUUGUGAUAACUUCAGGAAACUGGGGCUAAUACCGGAUAUGAGCUCCUGCUGCAUGGUGGGGGUUGGAAAGUUUCGGCGGUUGGGGAUGGACUCGCGGCUUAUCAGCUUGUUUGUGGGGUAGUGGCUUUCCAAGGCUUUGACGGGUAGCCGGCCUGAGAGGGUGACCGGCCACAUUAGGACUGCGAUACGGCCCAGACUGCUACGGGAGGCAGCAGUGGGGAAUAUUGCACAAUGGGCGGAAGCCUGAUGCAGAAACGCCGCGUGCGGGAUGACGGCCUUCGGGUUGUAAACAGAUUUCGACUGUGACGAAGAGUGAGUGACGGUAAUGGGUAAAGAAGCACCGGCUAACUACGUG
rnacentral:rRNA from 1 species